AUCAACAUCAACAUGAGAGUAUCACAUAACUUUCCACCAUAUCAACAAUAAAUCAUAUCCACUGAACAUCGCAUACUGACUAGCAUGACCAUCUCCAACAUCAACAUGUACUACUAACAAGCAUGAACAUACGAAAGGUAAUACUAGCAGGUAUAACAUGAUCACAGAGUAUAAGACAACAUAGCACAAAAGGGAACAUGCAAAUCUAAACAUCACCGGAACAACGAUAACCAACUUUUCAACAAGAAAACAUUUAUUAAAGAUUCAAGUUGAAAACCAUGGCUACUGCAUGACUAUCAUGAAAGUGGGUAUUGUGGCUUACCUGGUGAUGAAGAAGGCACUAGGGAGAAGUGCGGUGAAGCCGCAGAAAGAUUCGCCGGAAAACGUUCUCUCUCGGAGGGGGCUGAUUGAGGGCAGGGGAAAAAUGGUCAUUUUCAGUAUGCCAAAACAUAAUGAAAGUGACACCACCAUAAAGGGCUCGACAAAACGAAGAAGUGAGCGUUGGCUUCACCUCAUUUGGAGUUACGGUUGCGGAGAUAUAAGGUGUUGAACAUCAGGGACCAAUCUGUGAAUAAAACUUCAACAAACAAGUCCCUGGACGCAAAAACUGAAAGUGCAUUUGCAGAAUACGCCUUCACUUAAGUGACGUGGCAAGGUGGGGCCAGGGCUGGUUAACGCCUGAGGGGCUGACCAGAGGGGUCCACGCGCAGGGGAUGGGGCCCACCUGGCCAGCUGGAGGGGGCACGGGCGCUGUCUUCUUCCUCCCGUGCCUCUGUUCCUCUCGUGGAACAGAGCAGGGGCAGGGGAAGGAAGCGGCGAGGGGGCCGGCCGGCUCCGGCCAUCUCUGGCCGAGCCGAGGGUACCGGCGGGACCGGGGCGACGAGAGGGUCCCGUUAAGAGGUAGCACGGCCGCCGGGGAGGAGAGGGCUGGAGGGGAGAGGCGGCGCCAUGGGAGGAUAGGAAGCUUCGGGCGAGGUGGCUUCCGGUGACUCGGGCGGUUUCCGGCGAGGGGAAAGGGGGUGGGGCGGAUGAGUGGAACGAGGGGAGUGCGGUGGACGUGGAGGGGAUGCGAGGGGAGGCCUGUGGUGGCGGGACCCAAGCCGAGGCCGAGGCGGCCAUGGCCGGUGGCGGCAAACAACGGCGAGAUGCCGUGAUCCCAGAGGGCAAACGAGGCGGGGAACGGAUGGAUGAGCUGAGGGAGGACUCGGGCUUGCUUUAUAUAGGCCAGGGGAAGGCUCUGGAGCUCAUGGGCAAGCUCCCGACCGAACUUUAAUGGCGGGCAGUGGCUGGACAUGGCACGGGCAUGGAGCUAACGGUGCAUUUAAGGCGAACGGCGACGAACCAUUGACGCAGGGCGAUGCAGGGCAUCAUGGGGCAGCUACUAGACAUGUAUGGUGGUCGGGACGAGGAGGGAGGAGACGAGUAUAGUGGCCGGAACAAGCCAGAGCAUGCCUGCGGCCAUGACGCGAGCGUGAUCACCACACUCACUGGCGCAAGAGGCGCACUUUGGCGUGGCCAACCAUGUGUAGUGGAUGGACCUUGGUGCCCUUAGUCCAAAUAAAUAAAUAAAUCGGUCCAGGGGCAAAGAAGAGGUUUGCACUUAGCUCCAAAAGUAAAUCAGUAAUAAGGUGUUUGUAACAUGCUGUGGUUAAACCAGCUAGGUAAAUCAGUAACUAGCUUGUCUGGGCGGUUUAUCUGUCGAAGGACAAUCUUUCUGGAGGUUUUCAGGUAAAAGGAUCAAGAUUUACUGCAGUUGCUUCACAACUGCAUACUUGGUCCAGAAAUGAAGAUCAUGAUGGUGCACUCACAUGGAGUGUCCACUUGAGCUAAGAUUGGGCAAAGCUUAGUCAUUUGGUCAUAUUAUGGUGCUGUAAAAAGCUCAUGCCAAAUGGAGAAACCAAAAUGGCACUUGCUUCACAAACAUCAUUUCUGUCCAGAAACUAGAAAUAAUUAUGGUGAUCAAAUGUCUCAUUGAAAUGUUGCCAAAAUAUGUGGAGGGAUGUUUUAUUGGUAUAAGAAUGAUCUGGUAAUUUAUCAGGAUUUUUGAAGCAAUAGAAAAUAUACUUGCUUCACAAUAUGAAAAUAUUGCCAGAAACAAAGAUUUGCUCCUGUGCUCACAUAGAUGAUUGGAUGGGGCUUAAAAUGGGUGAAGGGGUUUUAUAUGGGCACUUUAAGGUGUGUGAAAAAUUUAAACCCAUUUGGGUACACCUAGAUAGUACUUCCUUCACAGAGCUUUUUGUUUGACAGAAACUUUGAAAAUUCACUGAGGAAGAUUGGCUAGGCAAAUAAAUUUGAUAUUGUGCAUGGGACAAUUAUUUGGACAUAUAAACAUGCCCAAAAAGGUUGGGAGUCCAUAGGAGAAAUAUAAAUGACACUUCCUUCACAAAGUGCCAUUCAGGGCAGAAUGGGAAAUGAAUUAUUGGAGGAUUAUUUUUGAACAUGUCAAUGAAACGUUUUGCCAUAUUUGAUCAAGAUAUGACCCAAAAAAUUUAUGAGAAUUAUUUGGGAAUUUUAGGACUGAUGGAACUAUAGGUUGCUUCACAACCUAGGGCAAUUGGAGUUAUUCCUUUAAUAGAAAAGGAAUAUUCCCAAUAAAAGAAUAUUGGGAUUUGGGCUAGGAUGGAAAUGACAGGGUCUAGGGAAAGAUUUGGGAAUGACAAGCCACUCUGGAAGCAAAGAAGAGGUCAUCUUCUUCGGUUUCCAGACCUCAAAGCCACGGAAAAAGAAAACUCAAGCAAAAACCUCGAAAAAACAAAUGAAAAAGAAAGGGCCAAAAAGCAGGCUGUCACAAACCUUACCCCCUUAAGGAAAUCUCGUCCUCGAGAUUUGGUUGCUCAGGGAACUAGUAUGAAUAUUCUGACUUAAGGAAACCGUUUCCAACUCGGGUAUCCUUUUCCUUUAUUGUUGUUCCCAUUAAAUUUUUAUCUGACUGGCCCUAGGGUGGUUUGAUUCACCGUAUCCAUAUUCUGACAGAUCUUACCUGGCUUGCUCAUGCUUAUAUAGGCUCCAAUUUCUUUCUAGAUCUACUGACUAGCUGAGUGUGAGUUCAUUAUCACGACUGAAUUAUAUGUCCGUCUCACAAAUCCAAAAGUGAUUUCCGCUGGGUGUGCUACCCGGCACUGACAACCUUUCAUGUAAUGAUGAUCGGAAUUUUCUGAUGAAAACUCAAGCUCUGACUCAUUGCAUUGGAUUUCUCCACUAUAUGCAGGUCCUUUGGGUUCCAAACUGUCAGUUCAAAUAUAACCGUUUCCUGACAGAUUCUGACUCGUCGCAGAAGUUUCUGAAUCAUAUUAACUGGUUCCGCGGUCGUGAGCAUCAGAUCCGUACCAAAUAUUUGAUUGUCUCCUGUCGCGGCCAGCAUAAAGGGUUUGGCCUGUAUGAUAAUAUCAGCAGACUUGACUGACGAUGGUUCUGACGGAAUUUUUUUUGUUCACGACAUGCUAUCCAUGAUGAUUCAUAUAAGUGAGGACUCAUGCUUCCAGACUGUUAUUCCUCAUGUCGAUUACUCAUGCUGUAGGCAUAUCCAUGUGGAUCAAUACUGACUUAGACUGUCCGGGGAUCUGCACCAUGGGGGUCCUGUAUAAUUUUCAUACCUGCACCACUGGUCUUGCUCCUUCAUUAUUGUUUUCUUGGUCUGGAUCCUUGGCUAAAAGAGCUGGGCCAUAUUGCUUCUUCGUAUGACCAUAGGUACUGUCGGUGCAAUUUUUCGGGAGUUAAAUACACCUAUAGUACAUAAACUUGCGUGGUGGGUACAAAAUCAUACAUAAAGUUGAAAAAUGAUGCAAAUGGGUCAUUGAACUAUAAUUUCGGGUACAUUUUGCUACAUCUUCUGUUAAAUCUAAUGGUAAUUGCAAGGCUUGCCGUUAACUCGCAGGCCAGCAUGGUAGUGGGUAUAUGUAUACGCUGGGUCCACUUGUUAGAUGACUAGAGAAGGAGAAGCAAAUAUGUAGACGUAGGAUUUGACCUUCGGACGUGAGAUGUUUCAAGCACAGGGCUCAGGGCAUUUCCAACGCUGAUGCAAACCUCCUGCAAUGAUCCAAAUCACGGAAGCCACCAACGUUGGUCUGUAUCGGCCCGUGACACGGUUCAGAUGUGAUUUCUCCUGCAAACCGAAGAUAAAAUUGAGGGAGGUUUGCGGGAGUCCAGACCGAUCCCAAGCCCGUUUCUGACCGCCCUGAUCCAUUAAAAACCCUCCCACUUCCCGUGCGUGUUUGGUCAGCGCCGCUCUAAAGCGUCAGCACCCGUGUACAUGCCCGGUCAGAACGGAUGCGACUGCUCACUGGCGCUGUCAUUGAAGCAGCGCGCCGGCCGAGAGAGCGCCACCCGCGUCACUUCCCAAUGCAGGUGAUUGCCACGUGUUCAAACGACACGACGGCCGCCUGCCCGUCCGCCUGCCGCCUGCAUUGAUGGAACGCGAUUGCCGAGGUGUCUUCUCCGACGUCACCCGUCCACCCCUCUGCCGCCCACCGAUGCUAUAUAAAACCGCUACCCCGGCCAUAUCCACAAUCAUCCCUCUCCACACCACUCCCCGCCAUGGAUCCCUCUGCGGCCAAAGCUCUCUGAGACGGGCUUACGUCGAAGCAGAAGAAGGACAUGCCUGCCAUUGAUGUUGAUUGGCAGGCCGGCAGGCAGCCGGAGGACGUGCAAAUGGAGGACACCUCUGACAACGAGCCAACGCCACCCUCCUCUUCCUCUCCACCCUCGCCAGUGCAUUGCACCAUGACUAUCGGCGAGGCCUGUGCCCAUUAUAUGGACAUGGUGCGGCAGGAGCAGUCCCGGGAGGCGCAAGCCGAGGCCAACUACAACCACAAGCUCCUUCAGGAGCAUCUGCAUGCGGAGGAGCUGGUCGCCGCCGGCAGGGCGGUCGUGCCGGACGUGGACUUGGUGGAGCAGGAAGCACGGCUUGAGUCCUAUACGAAGAAGGAUACCUGGUCGAUCUUUUUUGCAAUUGAAUGAACUCAAUAUCUCACGUACAAGCAUGUGGUUUCUCAAUUAGGCUAGUGGACUAAUGUUACAGCUCGACACGUUAAAGCUAGCUAGCUUUGUACACCGGUGAGAUCAUAUUGCCAACGGGCAACAUACCGAAUAUACAGGCAGGUGAUUCAACCUCUCCGCCGGCGGUGAAGGUCAAGGCUGCACUUUUGAUACCCUCGUUAACUUUGCUUUACGAGUAGUCCAACCUCUCUGCCGUCGUCACCAGCACAUAUCUAGUCAGCUGAUAGGUGGACCCGCAUAUACGUAUACACAGAACAUAGUGGGCUGCAAGUUAAUGUCACACCGUCCGAUUUAACAGCAAAUGUAUCAAAAUGUAUCCGAAAUUAUAGUUUAGUGGCCCAUUUGUAUCAUUUUUCAUGUUUAUGUAUGAAUCUUUACCCACCGCGCAAGUUCAUGUACUAUAAGUGUAAUUAACUCAUUUUUCGGCAAUCAUAGCUUAUCCUCAUUUUUCCGACAAGGUAACCCAUUAAAUGACAGGUUCAACACCUCUCAAGUUCUGAUCGUCGUGAAAUGAUCAUCCGAAACCCUUGCAAAAAACCGGCAAAUAAAUCAGUAGCCACCGGAAUGGGCUUUACAACUCAGAUCUGGGACAUUACUGAAAUAACUCAACCAUGGCUCAGGACGGCCGAAAAACAGCUCAGAGCAUGAGACCGGGUUGAUAAGAAGAAGGUGGCAGCUCCCUAAAAUAGCCAAAAAGCAGCUAUAGGGCUAUUGUCACAAAAAGAAACUUAACAGCUAUACGAGACGGCCGAAAAGUAGCUCAGACUCGUGACAGUCGUUGAAGAGAGAAACAAAAACAGGCAUCCACCCCGGAUAGCUAGAAAUAGCUCAUACCACAGGGGUGGUGCCGUCAUUGGAAAAAAAGGAGACAAGGGCUCAUCAAGAUCAUUUUCCAGGCUCACGGGUACUUGUAUUGAGCUCAUUGAUGUCGUCAAUCCUCAUAAUCCUUUGUCACACUGCGGUGUUUACUGGCUUUCUUCUCUUAAUCAUCCUCACGUGGUUAUCAGAUCCUCAUCCGAGUGACUUGUAAGAUCUUGACGGUAUGCUCAUUGCAUAUAUAUGAGAAUCUGAUUCCCGAGACAAACGUGUAUUCUGACUGAUUCUUGAUUCUGACCAAAAUGUUGCGGAUCUGAUUCUUGGGAUUCACUGCCACAUGCUGUCAAUUCAUAGUGUACUACCUUGUACCAAUGUCUUACUGAGGAAUAUUUGCUGGCUUGUGCUCGAAACUUUCACUGGACAGCUUGCUGAAGAAGACUGGGUAUCGUGCUUCAGAAGCUUACCCCCUUAAAGACUUUGCUGGGGACAGACUCGGUACCUUAUGCCGGAAGCUUUUGCGGUUGCUUACUGAAGAAGGCAGAGUUCCUUGCAUGGGAAAUCAUCCACUUAUCGUACUGAGGAAUAUAGAUGAAUCUUGCCUUGGAAACUUCUCUGGUAUCUUGGGAGGAAAAGUGGGUUGCUUACACCAGAAACUUCUCAUUGUGAUAUGCGGACCGAUUUCCACAUAUAUAACCAUCUGAAUAUUUUUGAUGUUGAUUUCUUGCAUGAAACGGGGUUUUGCAGGACUAUUCCCCUUUUCGAGUAUAUGCCAUAUUUUUGCUUGCUUCCAGGUACAUCGAGUUCCAAAAUCAUCCUCAACGAAAAAUUAAACUUGUAUCUGAGCCAUACCUUUGAUAAUAUUCUGUCAACCUUGCACACAAUUUAUCUUCUUUCUGAUUUAAUCAUUUUGUUGUGAUGAGUGCAUCUUAAUGCAAACUUAAUACUGACGGUUGAUCCAGGAUUUCUUUUGCAUCCAGACAAGAUAUUACAAUUUUCAUCGCAGUCAGCUAAUAAUUCCAUUCUGUUUAGCUGAGUUUCCAAAUAUAUGCAUUUCUUGCUGACUCUUCGGGUCCGGUGUCGGCUGACGAGCAACUUUGAUAGGGGAAAAAUUUGUAACACUGAAGGCCCAAAGAAAGGAACAAUAGAAAUGACUAAAACAAAGCACACAAGCAUCCUACUAAUAUAAUUAAUCAAGCAAUCAUCACAUAUUAGUGCUACUCACACAAUAAUAUGCAUGCACACCUAAGCACACAUAUUCCGCGGAAUCUCCGGUUCAACGAUCUAACAUGCUGUGACGAUGUGCACAAGGAUGAAUAAAUGUGUAGAAGAAUUGGUGUAAACAGCGCUACACCAAGUGCUACCUUAGCCAGAUAGCAACCUGGACUAGCUCGGAGGCGAGGACGCACUCGGUAAUCAUGCAGUAGGACAUGAAGGUCGCAACCACAUUAUUAUCAAGUGGGCGGAAAAAGAUCCGCACUCGUCCAAGAAAUAGGAUUGCGGGGAAAAACUGAGGCUGCUGACAUUGCCCUUUCUUGAUAACUAAGAUUAUUAAGGGCUGCCAACACGACAAAAUAAAAGAACGAUUCGGGAUAGAAGCAUGUCCAUCACCGAAAUGAUAGGCGGGACUGAAGGAAAGACAUCAGUGCGAUGCCUGAGCACCAUUUUUGCAAACAUUGUCGGGAUUACUUGGCAUCACUCUGUUGGGACAGAAAUGACACCAAACAUCGAAAGAAAAAGGAACUGGGGAAAUGCAAAGGUUGAGCUGUAGUGGAUCCGAACCGAUGCCAGCUACACUCACCAGAUAAACCGUUAGUACAAAUACUAAGGCUAUAUGCAUGCCAUGCAACAAACAAAUGCAGCAAUCAAGUGCAACAAACCAUCGGGGGUCUAUACUAUCGUUUUCUAACGCUCACGCGGUCUAGGGUGUCCUACGGCCAGACCUGCUAUGAUACCAAGCCUGUGGCACCCCGGCUCAGAGAAACCGGAACGCCCCGUAUUCCGGCCCAGAGAUCGAGGAGAAGUCUUCUGGAAUAUGACACUGCUUAGCAUAGAACAAACCAGCCUUUUAUUAUUACACGAAUAUGAAUACAAAGUCUCCAAUAUUACAAUGAAUAACAUCGGUACGACGACACUACGCCAUCCUCAGUUGCUCUAUGCAAGCAGCGGAACAACUCGAAGCAGUGGAAAAACUCUAGCAGCGGAACAACGGCGACGGUGGUGAACUCCACUCCGCAGGGACUCUGGCUAGAACGCUUAUCCUAGCUCGCACGAACGGAAACCACGACAAGCAAGCAAUCAAAUCCGGCAUGACCUGCAAACUGGCAUGACACGCCAGGUCAGUACAUCGAAUGUACUUGCAAGCUCACAAUAAUCCAGAAGCAUUCAAGACAGACAACAACAUGGCAAUUACGGGUUAAACAGGAAUUUAACAUGAUAUCAUCAGAAUAACAUUGCAUGACCAACAUAAACAUGAUAUAGCUAUCUCAACAUGAACAUAUAAAUCCGACAAUACUAGCAUGCAACAUGAUGACACCAUAUGCACCACUUAUUCCGCUCGGUUACCUCGUAACCAACACAUGCAUCACUUACCAACCUCGGACAUCACACGAUCAUCUCAGGAUCAAAUCAAGCUUGGCAUAAACAAUACCAUAGCGAUCAUUAAAUAACCACAAGGAGCUUGAUCUUUACCCACGACUCUCGUACAACAUCACGAAUAUACAACAACUCGGUAUCCUUAAUACCAUCGUGAUCCUUACGGCGAUCACAACCACGACCAACACUUAGUAUCAAACCGUGAUCCUUACGGCGAUCACAACCCGACCACUACAUGACCCGUGAUCCUUACGGCGAUCACCACCCGACCAACACUUGGCCAACUUAUCUCACUGUUAUUAAGCACAUUAUUCUUAUUAAUGUUGACUCAUGGUCCGACCUUCUCUCGACCUGGGCCCUUAUCCGUGGGCGCGGCUAUCGAUAGAUUUAAUAUACACUAUGCAGACGUCAGUACACUGUACCCACACUACGGAACCCAUGGCCUCGCACUCCCAUUCGGGUGGACCAACGGCAUUCCGAGAAAACCGUCUACUGCCAUGACACUCUCCCGGCCACUCCGACUCACUCCUCACUGAGCUAACUCAUGGGUGGCCCCAUGCCUACCUCCAGACACAACGACCACCGUCGUGGCCCGUCCCACACGGGGACACGGAUCCAAAAACUAACUCAACAACGGGCACACAUGGUUAUGCUUGCCUACCGGGCCAGGGUACAGCACGCCCAUAACCUUCCCUCAUUGGAGGCACCGGGGAGAGGCACGACAAUAGACCCAGUUAGGACCGUCCCAUACCGGUAAGCGUGGUUACACUGGUCAGCAUCGAUUCAGCGGCACCAUGACUCAGCCAACAUGUGUUCAAGUUCGGUUUAAUCUGGUUAACUUGAAUGCAAAUAUGCUGAGUCAUGAUAAAAUGCAUGAACAUGAUAUCAACAUCACCAUGAGAGUAUCAAAUAACUUUCCACCAUAUCAAUAAUAAAUCAUAUCCACUGAACAUCGCAUACUGACUAGCAUGACCAUCUCCAACAUCAACAUGUACUACUAACAAGCAUAAACAUAUGAAAGGUAAUACUAGCAGGUAUAACAUGAUCACAGAGUAUAAGACAACAUAGCACAAAAGUGAACAUGCAAAUCUGAACAUCACCGGAACAACGAUAACCAACUUUUCAACAAGCAAACAUUUAUUAAAGAUUCAAGUUGAAAACCAUGGCUACUACAUGACUAUCAUGCAAGUGGGUAUUGUGGCUUGCCUGGGGAUGAAGAAGGCACCGGGGAGA
rnacentral:lncRNA from 1 species